GUAAUAUAUCGGAACGUACCGAGUAAUGGGGGAUAACUAAUCGAAAGAUUAGCUAAUACCGCAUAUUCUCUGAGGAGGAAAGCAGGGGACCUUCGGGCCUUGCGUUAUUCGAGCGGCCGAUAUCUGAUUAGCUAGUUGGUGGGGUAAAGGCCUACCAAGGCGACGAUCAGUAGCGGGUCUGAGAGGAUGAUCCGCCACACUGGGACUGAGACACGGCCCAGACUCCUACGGGAGGCAGCAGUGGGGAAUUUUGGACAAUGGGCGCAAGCCUGAUCCAGCCAUGCCGCGUGUCUGAAGAAGGCCUUCGGGUUGUAAAGGACUUUUGUCAGGGAAGAAAAGGCUGUUGCUAAUAUCGACAGCUGAUGACGGUACCUGAAGAAUAAGCACCGGCUAACUACGUGCCAGCAGCCGCGGUAAUACGUAGGGUGCGAGCGUUAAUCGGAAUUACUGGGCGUAAAGCGAGCGCAGACGGUUACUUAAGCAGGAUGUGAAAUCCCCGGGCUCAACCUGGGAACUGCGUUCUGAACUGGGUGACUAGAGUGUGUCAGAGGGAGGUAGAAUUCCACGUGUAGCAGUGAAAUGCGUAGAGAUGUGGAGGAAUACCGAUGGCGAAGGCAGCCUCCUGGGAUAACACUGACGUUCAUGCUCGAAAGCGUGGGUAGCAAACAGGAUUAGAUACCCUGGUAGUCCACGCCCUAAACGAUGUCAAUUAGCUGUUGGGCAACUUGAUUGCUUAGUAGCGUAGCUA
rnacentral:rRNA from 1 species